rnacentral:snRNA from 1 species
GCCUCUAAGUCAGAAUCCG